GAGGCUAGAAAGUUUUAUGGAUAAACUAGGAUUAGAUACCCUAUUAUAUUAAAAUGAAAUUAAAUAUACUGGAUUAUUAGUAGAUAUUUUCUUUAAAUUUAAAGAAUUUGGCGGUAAUUUAGUCUAGUUAGAGGAACCUGUUUUUUGAUCGAUAUUCCACGUAUUAUCUUACUUGCUUAAUAUAAGUUUGUAUACCAUCAUUAGCAGAUAAUUUUAUAGAAGAAAGAAUUGUUAAAUAGAAUUUAUUAUAUAAAUUAGAUCAAGGUGCAGCUAAUAGGUAAGUUAAAAUGGGUUACAAUAAAAUUUAUUUAUACGGAAUAAAGAUCAUGAAGAUAGAGUUAUGAAGGAGGAUUUAAUUGUAAUAUGGGUUUAAUAAGCUAAGGUGAUAAGAGUUCUAAAUUAUGUACAUAUCGCC
rnacentral:rRNA from 1 species